GCUGAAUCUUGGCGAUGGGAAGCUGCGAACCCCUGCUUCCUUCUAACUGCUGGCAGUCUUCUCCAUUCUGCCCCAUCCAGAAACUGGGAGGAAGCAAGAGUGUCGGGCCCUACCAAUUCCAAAUAAUAGACAAGGUACUCUCUGGGAAAGAAUCCAUGAGUGCUGUGAGAGAAGGAGCACCUCAUUUAAAUGUCACAGGGAUUGUGCCUUUUGAGCUCCAGAACAAUAUUUUGUGGAAGCAAUGAGACCGUAUAGAAGAAUCCUGAACUAGAGGAGAAGCAGUUUAGAAUUAUGAUGAUAUGUGAAGAGUCAACUAAACCAAAGACAGUGAGAUCCACCUUCACAAAGGAGUGUGUUUUGCCUGCCCUCUCUCUAAUCCUUUUCUACUUCUCCUUUUUCUGUUCCAUAUUUGUCCUGUUUAUGGACCCCUUAGUAUGCACAAUGAGUUCAUCUCUGAAUCCCUACAAUACCCACACCAAUGCCUUGAGCAGAAUAGUAUCUAUUGACAAAAUUUAUGAUGGAGAACUUUCUUUUAGGAUCCAUUCUUACCUAAGGAAUCCAGCCUGAAAGUUUUAUUUCGGUGUAAAUGACAAAAGGGGCUUGGGUAAAAUGAACCCUAUGACAAAAGGGGCUUGGGUAAAUGCCUUUCCAGAAGGCAUUAAUGUGACAAGGAAAAGAGAUUUGAGAAGGCAAAUUUGAGAGACUCUGUCUGUUUCCACAUUCUGGAAGAUAACCCCAAAGUUUCCUUCUUUGUUUGUUUGUUUAUCAUGAAAGAUGAGACUGAGCUUAAGAUGGGUCAGGACCUCACAUAACAAUUAAAUGGGGAAUCAGAACUAGAAUG